rnacentral:RNase_P_RNA from 1 species
GGUGCAGGUGAUCGCGUGGUUUACCACGAGGAAAGUCCGGGCUACGCAGGGCAGGAUGCCGGAUAACGUCCGGUGGAGGCGACUCCCAGGAAAGUGCAACAGAAAUGAUACCGCCGGCUCAGGCCGGUAAGGGUGAAAUGGCGAGGUAAGAGCUCACCGCCUCGACGGUAACGGCGAGGGCAAAUGUAAACCCCAUCCGUAGCAAGACCAAGCAGGAAGCGAUACGGCUGCCCGUCGUGCUUCCGGGUAGGUUGCUCGAGCCUGCCGGUAACGGUAGGCCUAGAUAGAUGAUCACCCAAUACAGAACCCGGCUUAUAGCAUCGCUCA